UAAAUAGAAAUGGAAGCCACUGAACUGUACAGUGGGCAGCUAGAUGGCAUAGUGAAUAGAGUGCCAAAUCUGAAGUCAGGAAGACUCAUCUCCCCGAGUUAAAAUAUGGCUUCAGAUUCUUACUAGCUAUGUUACCCUGGGCAAGUCAUUUAACUAAGUUUGCUUAAUUUUCCUCAUCUUUCGAAUGAGCUGAAAAAGGAAAUGGCAAACUGCUCUAGCAUUUUUGCCAAAAAACCCCCAGAUGGGGUCACAAAGAGUCAGACAUGAUUGAAACAACUGAAAAAUAAUAAAUUAUAUAUUGAAGAUCCCUGUGGCUGUAUGUUAACUGAAAAAAACAACAACAACAAAGUAUUGUGAAGAUUAAAAUGAACUCUCCCCUAAUUAUGAAGAUUAAAAUUGUAACCCCUGCCAAUUUUUUAGAUUUAAUCACCAAAAGUGUGAACACCUUACUUAAAAAUUGAGUAUGGAGAUCUGCCCAUUUUAGAUCUAAUCACCAAAAGUAUAAACAUCUCACUUAAUCAUUAGGUGGGAGGUCUGUGACCCAUGUGUGUGAUAGUGGGUGACAAAUCAGAAUUAAACUAACUGCCCCUGGGCAGUCCUAAAGCAAAGCUUCAAUUGUGAUUGGUAGAUGUAAGAUUAGGGGAAGACACAGGAAAUGAUGCAAAAGAAGCAUCUUUAAAAGGAGCUAUCACUUCCUGUGAGGGACAGUUCUUCAUUCUUUGGAAGUGAAGACUAGAGACAAAUUUUCAUUCUUUGGAGUGGAGGCUGGAUCCUGUUCCUGGAUAACAAGCUAGGAUGAAAAGGCUUCCACAGUAGUGCCCAGACAUUUUAAAGUGGAAGAGGUGAUUGUCAGAGAUCUACACUGAUGGGAAGCAUAACCAGCCUGAAAUCAACAGCAUCAGCAUCAGCAUCAGCAUCAGCAUCAGCAUCAGCAUCAGCAUCAGCAUCAGUAGCAGCAUCAGUAGCAGCAGCAGCAGCAGCAGCAGCAGCAGCAGCACUGUUUUGCAUCUAGUGACCUUUCAGUCACUUUUCACCUGGGAAAAUGCCAUUUCUCUGUAUCCCUAGUUGCCAUUAUAUGGCCACACUUGUUUAGUUUCCUCUCUCUUUUGCUGUCUGUCUUUUUCACACACACACAUAUCUCAAUAUCUCAUGACCUAAGGAAAUAAAGGAGAUAAUGUGGUACAGUAGAAAAUGAUGGCUCUUAAUUUGCAUCCCUCAUUGCUUUUUACUAUCUGUGUGAUUUAAGUCUAUUUAGUUUGAACUAUGUGAUCUCCGAAGUUCAUUUCAUUUCUAUAUCUAUAAUCCUUUAAAAUCCAAUAUCAAAUCUCAACAAAGAUCACUAGUCAGUCAACUAGCAUUUAUUCAUGUAUUAUGUAUUAGUUGCUAUACUAAGUGCUAAAAUUAUUUCUGGAAAUAAACUAUUUAAUAAGAAA